rnacentral:RNase_P_RNA from 1 species
CCAGUCGGCCGGACGGCCGCUUCGCUCCUUCAUCGGAGCGGAGAGGAAAGUCCGGGCUCCACGGAAACACGGCGCCGGAUAACGUCCGGCGGGGGCGACCCCAGGGAAAGUGCCACAGAGAGCAAACCGCCUCCGGCUAUGGCCGGCGGUAAGGGUGAAAGGGUGCGGUAAGAGCGCACCGCGCGACCGGUAACGGGAGCGGCACGGCAAACCCCGCCGGGAGCAAGACCGAAUAGGGGCGACGCGCAGGCGGCGAAAGCCGUCGGCAGGCCUGCUUCCGGGCCGUCGCCCGGGUUGGUUGCUUGAGGCGUCCGGCGACGGACGUCCCAGAGGAAUGGUCGUCACGCGCGCGCCGGUCCGCCGACGCGCGCCAUACAGAACCCGGCUUACAGGCCGGCUGGCCCC